AGAGCUAAGUAGAAACACUGUGGCCAAGGAUCUGUUGAAAACCUUGCAGGGAUGGGAACUCAAACACACUUUGCAGCAGAGAAACUGCAUAGCACCUGUCCACCAGGAGAGAUAGGAGAUGACUUACUGCUGAGUCAAAAACUGUGCUGAAAAUCAUUCUUCUCAGAUAUGGCCUUCUCCCAGCAUGCUCUGAAGUAUGGGGUUACUCUUUGCCAGGCAAAGGACUGUGUCUUCCCCCUUGGUAGGGCUCUGUCAUUCCACUCCUGCAGACAGUUGAGGUUCUCCAGAAUGGCAGCACAAACACAAUGUAAACUUGCAAUCAUAAUUUAGCUGGAUAGGAAGAAUUAUCAAGACAGAAGAUCCUGUACUUUGUAGACCUGUCAUCACCCACCAGAAAUUUCCAGAAGCAAUAUGGAUAAAGGAAUGUGAGGAUCACAGUGUGAUUUCACUUCAAUAAAGCAAAAAGGGAUUCAGAUUCUAA